rnacentral:lncRNA from 1 species
AAAACAAUACUUUGAAAGCAUGUGAUUUGAAAUAAUGGGGGAAAAAAUGUAAAAGAAAAGAUUGAAACCUGGGAUAUUUGAUAUAAGAUAAGUGAUAAAUGAAACUAGGACUUAGGAUAUCGCAUUGCUACCCAAAAAAAACUAACCACUUUGCUAAGCCAAAUCUGUAUAUGUGUGUGUAUGAGAGAGAGAGAGAGAGAGAGAGAGGACACCCUUGCAUGGGAAGCUAAAAGGUGGAUAUAAUUCGAAUAAAAAAUACCUUCCAUGGAUAUAUUUUGCACUUUCCUCAUCCAAAUGAAAAUUUAAUUGUUAACUAACUAUAAAUGCAACUGAAGUUAAAUAAACAUUUAGGGAAGGCCCGAAUGUGUAGAGUGUUUAGUAGGCUUUGCAACAAGUAAGUGAUUCUCAAGCAAUAUGUUAAUAAGGGGCAUAUUUUAGUCCACAUAAGCCUCUCAAUAUCCAUGAUAUCUUUACACAUGAACCCUAACUUUGCUCUCUCUCAACAGGUUUCAUGUUUGUCACAAUCUUUCAACUCCUUGUUGUUCGCCAUCAUCACUACCAAAAUAAACAAAGAACAGGAGAAAAGAUAUAUAAAUCAUUAUCAAGAAUAAUGUAAACACCACCAAUCUAAAUAAAUGAUGGGCUACAAGACUUGGAUGAGCGUCCAAAGUUCUGGGCUCAUGUAGACACUAAGAAUGUGACACACAUGUCUAACCCUAUAGAAACUAAGAUACUUUAAUCGCUUAAAAUCCCACCUCCCGACCCGUCGAAUAUAUAUAUGAAUGUGUUGUAUCUAGAAGGGGCUAAGUUGCGUUUCUGACAUGUAUAUUGGUGUAUGACACUGACACUCGUACCCAUAUCCUUGUAACAUAGAUGAUGGAGCUUUCUUGUUUCUUAAAACAAAUAGAAGAGCACCUUGAUAUUUUACAAGAAACAGAAAUAUUUGUUGAGGGAAAGUAAUUUAUUUGGAAGAAAGCAUAGACCUAUCUUGGGCAUCUUACAAAUGGUUUUGUGAAGAUCUCAUUGCUUAAAGUAAGAACUAUAGCCGCUUCAUGAAGCAACACCCUUGCAGUAAGGUUCUUCGGAAUCCACAGUUAACAUGUUAGUCAAGUGCCAUUAUUUGAAUUAUGCAAAACAAGAUAGAAAAUCUAGGAGUGUAGCAAUGCUAGUAUUAGGUAUCCUGCUCUAACAGGAAAUUGUGGCUGCUGUAUUUCAAAAAGCAUGAAACAACUAGUUUUCAAAUCAAGAACUAUGCUCUUACAGGAUAUUUAGCUAUUUCAAACCUCCUAAAAAAGUACGGCACCUAGUCAUUUUCUGAAACUACAAGUGGCAACCAAGAGUUUUUCAAUAAAUAUAAUGCAGCAAAUUGGAAAUUUAAACUCAUUUUCACGAAGAAAGAGUAAUAAAUUACCAUGUUUUUACAAGUAAGCUCUGAUCAGUUGCUUCUGAGAAAUCAAAUUGGUGGUCUGCAUCUACUUCCCAGCUGGUGAACCAUGUAGUUGUAUGGAAACCUUCUUUGGAUAUUCCCAUAUUGUAUAGAAAUCCUACAUCUAUAUCAUAACAAUGAAGAAAGUAACACUUUGAAGAAGGUUCUUCCAAAAACUGGUCAUGAUUCUUAUUUGAUGGUCACUAAUUUUCUCUGAAUGCAACCCAAAACAUAUAUCCUUUUUCUUCUAUAUUCCAG